GAUUGGUGCUUGCUCAUGAUUUACAUUUGAGUGAGUGGCGAACUGGUGAGUAACACGUGGGAAACCUGCCCAGAAGCGGGGGAUAACACCUGGAAACAGAUGCUAAUACCGCAUAACAACUUGGACCGCAUGGUCCGAGCUUGAAAGAUGGCUUCGGCUAUCACUUUUGGAUGGUCCCGCGGCGUAUUAGCUAGAUGGUGGGGUAACGGCUCACCAUGGCAAUGAUACGUAGCCGACCUGAGAGGGUAAUCGGCCACAUUGGGACUGAGACACGGCCCAAACUCCUACGGGAGGCAGCAGUAGGGAAUCUUCCACAAUGGACGAAAGUCUGAUGGAGCAACGCCGCGUGAGUGAAGAAGGGUUUCGGCUCGUAAAACUCUGUUGUUAAAGAAGAACAUAUCUGAGAGUAACUGUUCAGGUAUUGACGGUAUUUAACCAGAAAGCCACGGCUAACUACGUGCCAGCAGCCGCGGUAAUACGUAGGUGGCAAGCGUUGUCCGGAUUUAUUGGGCGUAAAGCGAGCGCAGGCGGUUUUUUAAGUCUGAUGUGAAAGCCUUCGGCUCAACCGAAGAAGUGCAUCGGAAACUGGGAAACUUGAGUGCAGAAGAGGACAGUGGAACUCCAUGUGUAGCGGUGAAAUGCGUAGAUAUAUGGAAGAACACCAGUGGCGAAGGCGGCUGUCUGGUCUGUAACUGACGCUGAGGCUCGAAAGUAUGGGUAGCAAACAGGAUUAGAUACCCUGGUAGUCCAUACCGUAAACGAUGAAUGCUAAGUGUUGGAGGGUUUCCGCCCUUCAGUGCUGCAGCUAACGCAUUAAGCAUUCCGCCUGGGGAGUACGGCCGCAAGGCUGAAACUCAAAGGAAUUGACGGGGGCCCGCACAAGCGGUGGAGCAUGUGGUUUAAUUCGAAGCUACGCGAAGAACCUUACCAGGUCUUGACAUACUAUGCAAAUCUAAGAGAUUAGACGUUCCCUUCGGGGACAUGGAUACAGGUGGUGCAUGGUUGUCGUCAGCUCGUGUCGUGAGAUGUUGGGUUAAGUCCCGCAACGAGCGCAACCCUUAUUAUCAGUUGCCAGCAUUAAGUUGGGCACUCUGGUGAGACUGCCGGUGACAAACCGGAGGAAGGUGGGGAUGACGUCAAAUCAUCAUGCCCCUUAUGACCUGGGCUACACACGUGCUACAAUGGAUGGUACAACGAGUUGCGAACUCGCGAGAGUAAGCUAAUCUCUUAAAGCCAUUCUCAGUUCGGAUUGUAGGCUGCAACUCGCCUACAUGAAGUCGGAAUCGCUAGUAAUCGCGGAUCAGCAUGCCGCGGUGAAUACGUUCCCGGGCCUUGUACACACCGCCCGUCACACCAUGAGAGUUUGUAACACCCAAAGUCGGUGG
rnacentral:rRNA from 2 species